rnacentral:sRNA from 1 species
UCCUGGUGGAACUGGUGGGAAGAGUGGAGCUCGGAGGUUCCAGGGCAGCACCCUUCCUGCUGAAGCAGCCAACAGACACCGGCCAGGUGCCCUCACCACCAAUGGCAUCAACCCUGACACCAGUACUGAGAUCGGACGUGCUAAGAACUGCCUUAGCCCUGAAGACAUAAUUGACAAGUAUAAAGAGGCGAUUUCCUAUUACAGCAAGGUGAUUUUAUGGCUUUGUGAUUUUUUUACACAGUUGUGUUGUUUUAAUCAGAAGUUUCCAUUUUACAUUGUGUAAUGCUGCAGUGUCUCUUAAUUAUUUAUUUCUGUAAGUAUUCAUGUCUUGCUCUCUAAUGCAUAGUACUAUAUGCCUAAAAUGUUUUCUUUUUCUGAUUCAAAACAGUGUAGGUUUAGUAUAAUAAAUUUGGAAAAGGGAGAAAAAAGGCUCUCAUGGCCCGCGUACUCACAGAUAAUGAUUGUUAAUAUUUUAUAUCUAUUUUCUGGUUC